AGUGAACGCUGGCGGUAGGCCUAACACAUGCAAGUCGAACGGCAGCACAGUAAGAGCCUGCUCUUACGGGUGGCGAGUGGCGGACGGGUGAGGAAUACAUCGGAAUCUACUUUUUCGUGGGGGAUAACGUAGGGAAACUUACGCUAAUACCGCAUACGACCUACGGGUGAAAGCAGGGGAUCUUCGGACCUUGCGCGAUUGAAUGAGCCGAUGUCGGAUUAGCUAGUUGGCGGGGUAAAGGCCCACCAAGGCGACGAUCCGUAGCUGGUCUGAGAGGAUGAUCAGCCACACUGGAACUGAGACACGGUCCAGACUCCUACGGGAGGCAGCAGUGGGGAAUAUUGGACAUGGGCGCAAGCCUGAUCCAGCCAUACCGCGUGGGUGAAGAAGGCCUUCGGGUUGUAAAGCCCUUUUGUUGGGAAAGAAAAGCAGCAGGUUAAUACCCCGCUGUUCUGACGGUACCCAAAGAAUAAGCACCGGCUAACUUCGUG
rnacentral:rRNA from 1 species